GACGAACGCUGGCGGCGUGCCUAAUACAUGCAAGUAGAACGCUGAAGAGAGGAGCUUGCUCUUCUUGGAUUAGUUGCGAACGGGUGAGUAACGCGUAGGUAACCUGCCUUGUAGCGGGGGAUAACUAUUGGAAACGAUAGCUAAUACCGCAUAACAAUGGAUGACACAUGUCAUUUAUUUGAAAGGGGCAAUUGCUCCACUACAAGAUGGACCUGCGUUGUAUUAGCUAGUAGGUGAGGUAAUGGCUCAACUAAGCGACGAUACAUAGCCCACCUGAGAGGGUGAUCCGCCACACUGGGACUGAGACACGGCCCAGACUCCUACGGGAGGCAGCAGUAGGGAAUCUUCGGCAAUGGGGGCAACCCUGACCGAGCAACGCCGCGUGAGUGAAGAAGGUUUUCGGAUCGUAAAGCUCUGUUGUAAGUCAAGAACGGGUGGGAGAGUGGAAAGUUCACACUGUGACGGUAGCUUACCAGAAAGGGACGGCUAACUACGUG
rnacentral:rRNA from 1 species